ACAGGGAUUGCCUCAGUAACGGCGAGUGAAGCGGCAAUAGCUCAAAUUUGAAAGCUGGCUCACGCCCGCAUUGUAAUUUGUAGAGGAUGCUUCGGGUACGGUGCCGGUCUAAGUUCUUUGGAACAAGACGUCAUAGAGGGUGAGAAUCCCGUAUGUGACUGGUGGCCUGUGUCCAUGUGAAGCUCCUUCGACGAGUCGAGUUGUUUGGGAAUGCAGCUCUAAAUGGGUGGUGUACUUCAUCUAAAGCUAAAUAUUGGCUGGAGACCGAUAGCGCACAAGUAGAGUGAUCGAAAGAUGAAAAGCACUUUGGAAAGAGAGUUAAACAGUACGUGAAAUUGUUGAAAGGGAAGCGCUUGCAAUCAGACUUGCAUGGCGUCGAUCAACCUGGGUUUUCCCUGGUGCACUCGGCGUCGUUCAGGCCAGCAUCAAUUCCUGCGGUUGGACAAAGGCUUGGAGAAUGUGGGUUGCUUCGGCGACUGUUAUAGCUCCAGGUGCCAUGCAGCCAGCUGGGAUUGAGGACCGCGCUUCGGCUAGGAUGCUGGCGUAAUGGUUGUAAGCGACCCGUCUUGAAACACGGACCAAGGAGUCUAACAUUUAAGCGAGUGUUUGGGUGUUAAACCCAUACGCGUAAUGAAAGUGAACGGAGGUGAGAACUCUUAAGAGUGCAUCAUCGACCGAUCCUGAUGUCUUCGGAUGGAUUUGAGUAAGAGCUUAACUGUUGGGACCCGAAAGAUGGUAGCAGCAUAGUUUUGCCAUCGACAACAGCGCAUAUAGCACGCUGUUAGUCUGACUUCGGUCAGGCGACACGCCCAAUGUGCGGAGAAGGCCUGGAGAUUCUAAGCCAAUCCGCAGCCCACCGCCCUUACCCGGCGGUGAGCUCAGAGACUCAAUAGGCGUGGGUUUGGCAAUUCAGCCAGGCUUAAGAUAGAGCCCAGCUCAGCAGGCAACCGCUGAGACCAACUGGAACUAUGCCUGAAUAGGGUGAAGCCAGAGGAAACUCUGGUGGAGGCUCGCAGCGGUUCUGACGUGCAAAUCGAUCGUCAAAUUUGGGUAUAGGGGCGAAAGACU
rnacentral:rRNA from 1 species